rnacentral:tRNA from 1 species
CCCUUAGUGGUAAAAAUGGUUAACACACUUGGCUGCUAAUCAAAAGGUUGGUGGUUCAAGUCCACCCAGAGGCA